AGCCCACACCCCGAUGAGCAUCCUGCAUCUGCUCCAGGGCAGUAGAGACCACGUGGAGGAUGAGGACUUAGCAGUGGAGGGGAACAGGAAAGCAGAACAUACUGGUUCCCCAGCGUCCCAGCCACAAGUCCCUCUGAAGAGUAUGGAUGACAAUGGUGACUUAGGUCCAUCCUUCAAAUGUCCUGAAGGGGAGAUUGGAACAGCAGAUGUACAAUUGUGGGAAGAAUUAACAAGGAGUAAAGAACGCGUAACACAAGACCAAAGUCUGACCAGAGCAGGCCUCUCUGCAGGACAAGGGCACAGCCAUGGAGGGAGCUCCUGAAGCUGCAGCUGAGGCUUCCCGCUCUGCCUGAACUACACUGAGAAUGCAUGAUGGGGCCUCAGUGGGAGGACGCCUACUGCCUGGACCUCAAGCAAAGGCUUCCCAAGGUGCGCGGGUACUUGAACUGCGUGUGUCAAGACUCACAACUGCUACAAGAAGAUGGCCCAAUACCUGGUCCAGGAGAUUAACACCCAGAAUAUUUCAUGGACG
rnacentral:lncRNA from 1 species